rnacentral:rRNA from 1 species
UAGGGAAUCUUCCACAAUGGACGCAAGUCUGAUGGGCAACGCCGCGUGAGUGAAGAAGGCUUUCGGGUCGUAAACUCUGUUGUUGGAGAAGAAUGGUCGGCAGAGUAACUGUUGUCGGCGUGACGGUAUCCAACCAGAAAGCCACGGCUAACUACGUGCCAGCAGCCGCGGUAAUACGUAGGUGGCAAGCGUUAUCCGGAUUUAUUGGGCGUAAAGCGAGCGCAGGCGGUUUUUUAAGUCUGAUGUGAAAGCCCUCGGCUUAACCGAGGAAGCGCAUCGGAAACUGGGAAACUUGAGUGCAGAAGAGGACAGUGGAACUCCAUGUGUAGCGGUGAAAUGCGUAGAUAUAUGGAAGAACACCAGUGGCGAAGGCGGCUGUCUGGUCUGUAACUGACGCUGAGGCUCGAAAGCAUGGGUAGCGAACAGGAUUAGAUACCCUGGUAGUCCAUGCCGUAAACGAUGAAUGCUAGGUGUUGGAGGGUUUCCGCCCUU